rnacentral:tRNA from 1 species
AUCAGACUACGAAUCUGAGGGUCGGGAGUUCAAAUCUCUCCAGGCGCG